CAGCAGAAAUCUCCCUCCUAUUCCAGACUGUUCCCAUGGAACAAAACAGCAGAAAUCUCCCUCCUAUUCCAGACUGUUCCCAUGGAACAAAACAGCAGAAAUCUCCCUCCUUUUCCAGCAGCUGCUGAAAUCCAUAAGCAGGCUGCGGAGCGGAGAACAGACAGGCAGCCUUGCAGGCAGCCAGGUGCCAAGGUUGCAGUCAAGAUUAGAUGCCAGCUGGAGAACUCGGAAAAACAGGCGGCAAAAGAGCGAGUGCAGGGCUAACUGACACGCCUGGAUAAACCAGGGUUUUGGGUUAUCAUUGACCCGUCAUCAACUAAAACAAUAAGGACUAAUGACUGAACAGCUCUUGUGGACAUGGCAGGCCCAUUUCCUUCCACACGACACACUGGAACCUCCCUCUUAGAUUUUAACACAAAGCCUUACAGUCUUCUACUCUCCGGAUAUGAAUAAGAAAAGUACAACCGGAGCAGGAAGUGUGUGUGCUAACAGAGUGCAGCCAUAUAACCAGGGCAGUUCAGUUCAAAACACUUGUUUCCCAGACAGACAGGUUGGGUGCAACAGGAACUGGAACUGCCAGAUGAUGAUUUACAUAGCAUUUCAUAGCAACAGUACAGGGCAGGCAAGGUCAUAUACAAAUAACUCAUUUCCUGUCUGGGAAUUUUUUUGUGUGGAAAAAUAAAAUCCUGGAAUGCCAAUAUUGAACACAAAUAAAAAUCGGGAAAAUGGCUACUAUGGCAUGUAGGCUAAGGCUUGUCGACUGCUUUAGGGACACUUCGCAGAGUUACCAACAUUCAACACCUAAUGUCACAGUUUGACACUGAACAAUGUGGCUGAUUAAAUUCAACUCCACGACUUAGAGCGGCAACUAGUGUGGACGGACUGGAUCGCCGACGUAACAUAAAAUGAAGUUAUUAAAAACUACUGAUUUCAGCAUCCAAAGUAUAGACCGCAAUUACACACGACAUAGGUCUGUAAUUACAGGCUACUCUUUGGGUGCUGACAUCACUUGGGUUUUUUGUCACCGCUCAACUCCAUCGUAAAUGGUGGAGUUGGGGUUUAGUCGGCUAUGAACAAGGAAGCCAUAGAGC